rnacentral:rRNA from 1 species
ACGAACGCUGGCGGCGUGCUUAACACAUGCAAGUCGAACGGAAAGGCCCUGCUUGCAGGGUACUCGAGUGGCGAACGGGUGAGUAACACGUGGGUGAUCUGCCCUGCACUUCGGGAUAAGCCUGGGUAACUGGGUCUAAUACCGGAUAGGAGCCCGUUUUAGUGUGAUGGUUGGAAAGUUUUUUCGGUGUAGGAUGAGCUCGCGGCCUAUCAGCUUGUUGGUGGGGUAAUGGCCUACCAAGGCGGCGACGGGUAGCCGGCCUGAGAGGGUGGACGGCCACAUUGGGACUGAGAUACGGCCCAGACACCUACGGGAGGCAGCAGUGGGGAAUAUUGCACAAUGGGCGCAAGCCUGAUGCAGCGACGCCGCGUGGGGGAUGACGGCCUUCGGGUUGUAAACUCCUUUCGCUAGGGACGAAGCUUUUUGUGACGGUACCUAGAUAGGAAGCACCGGCUAACUACGUG